GCCGGGCAUGGUGGCUCACGCCUGUAAUCCCAGCACUUUGGGAGGCUGAGAUGGGUGGAUCACCUGAGGUCGGGAGUUCGAGACCAGCCUGGCCAACAUGGUGAAACCCCGUCUCUA
rnacentral:SRP_RNA from 2 species